rnacentral:rRNA from 1 species
AAGGGAAACAGCCCAGACCACCAGCUAAGGUCCCAAAAUAUAUGUUAAGUGGAAAAGGAUGUGGCGUUGCCCAGACAACUAGGAUGUUGGCUUAGAAGCAGCCAUCAUUUAAAGAGUGCGUAAUAGCUCACUAGUCGAGUGACACUGCGCCGAAAAUGUACCGGGGCUAAACAUAUUACCGAAGCUGUGGAUUGUCCUUUGGACAAUGGUAGGAGAGCGUUCUAAGGGCGUUGAAGCAUGAUCGUAAGGACAUGUGGAGCGCUUAGAAGUGAGAAUGCCGGUGUGAGUAGCGAAAGACGGGUGAGAAUCCCGUCCACCGAUUGACUAAGGUUUCCAGAGGAAGGCUCGUCCGCUCUGGGUUAGUCGGGUCCUAAGCUGAGGCCGACAGGCGUAGGCGAUGGAUAACAGGUUGAUAUUCCUGUACCACCUAUAAUCGUUUUAAUCGAUGGGGGGACGCAGUAGGAUAGGCGAAGCGUGCGAUUGGAUUGCACGUCUAAGCAGUAAGGCUGAGUAUUAGGCAAAUCCGGUACUCGUUAAGGCUGAGCUGUGAUGGGGAGAAGACAUUGUGUCUUCGAGUCGUUGAUUUCACACUGCCGAGAAAAGCCUCUAGAUAGAAAAUAGGUGCCCGUACCGCAAACCGACACAGGUAGUCAAGAUGAGAAUUCUAAGGUGAGCGAGCGAACUCUCGUUAAGGAACUCGGCAAAAUGACCCCGUAACUUCGGGAGAAGGGGUGCUCUUUAGGGUUAACGCCCAGAAGAGCCGCAGUGAAUAGGCCCAAGCGACUGUUUAUCAAAAACACAGGUCUCUGCUAAACCGUAAGGUGAUGUAUAGGGGCUGACGCCUGCCCGGUGCUGGAAGGUUAAGAGGAGUGGUUAGCUUCUGCGAAGCUACGAAUCGAAGCCCCAGUAAACGGCGGCCGUAACUAUAACGGUCCUAAGGUAGCGAAAUUCCUUGUCGGGUAAGUUCCGACCCGCACGAAAGGCGUAACGAUUUGGGCACUGUCUCAACGAGAGACUCGGUGAAAUCAUAGUACCUGUGAAGAUGCAGGUUACCCGCGACAGGACGGAAAGACCCCGUGGAGCUUUACUGUAGCCUGAUAUUGAAAUUCGGCACAGCUUGUACAGGAUAGGUAGGAGCCUUUGAAACGUGAGCGCUAGCUUACGUGGAGGCGCUGGUGGGAUACUACCCUAGCUGUGUUGGCUUUCUAACCCGCACCACUUAUCGUGGUGGGAGACAGUGUCAGGCGGGCAGUUUGACUGGGGCGGUCGCCUCCUAAAAGGUAACGGAGGCGCUCAAAGGUUCCCUCAGAAUGGUUGGAAAUCAUUCAUAGAGUGUAAAGGCAUAAGGGAGCUUGACUGCGAGACCUACAAGUCGAGCAGGGUCGAAAGACGGACUUAGUGAUCCGGUGGUUCCGCAUGGAAGGGCCAUCGCUCAACGGAUAAAAGCUACCCCGGGGAUAACAGGCUUAUCUCCCCCAAGAGUUCACAUCGACGGGGAGGUUUGGCACCUCGAUGUCGGCUCAUCGCAUCCUGGGGCUGUAGUCGGUCCCAAGGGUUGGGCUGUUCGCCCAUUAAAGCGGUACGCGAGCUGGGUUCAGAACGUCGUGAGACAGUUCGGUCCCUAUCCGUCGUGGGCGUAGGAAAUUUGAGAGGAGCUGUCCUUAGUACGAGAGGACCGGGAUGGACAUACCUCUGGUGUACCAGUUGUCGUGCCAACGGCAUAGCUGGGUAGCUAUGUGUGGACGGGAUAAGUGCUGAAAGCAUCUAAGCAUGAAGCCCCCCUCAAGAUGAGAUUUCCCAACUUCGGUUAUAAGAUCCCUCAAAGAUGAUGAGGUUAAUAGGUUCGAGGUGGAAGCAUGGUGACAUGUGGAGCUGACGAAUACUAAUCGAUCGAAGACUUAAUCAA